UAUAUCUACGGGAGGCAGCAGUGGGGAAUAUUGCACAAUGGGCGAAAGCCUGAUGCAGCAACGCCGCGUGAAGGAAGAAGGGUUUCGGCUCGUAAACUUCUAUCAACAGGGACGAAAGAAAUGACGGGACCUGAAUAAGAAGCCCCGGCUAACUACGUGCCAGCAGCCGCGGUAAUACGUAGGGGGCAAGCGUUAUCCGGAAUUACUGGGAGUAAAGGGUGAGUAGGCGGCAUGGUAAGCCAGAUGUGAAA
rnacentral:rRNA from 1 species